UACGUAGGUGGCAAGCGUUGUUCGGAUUCAUUGGGCGUAAAGGGUGUGUAGGUGGCGCCGUAAGUCGGGUGUGAAAUCUCGGGGCUUAACUCCGAAACUGCAUUCGAUACUGCGGUGCUUGAGGACUGGAGAGGAGACUGGAAUUCAUGGUGUAGCAGUGAAAUGCGUAGAGAUCAUGAGGAAGACCAGUGGCGAAGGCGGGUCUCUGGACAGUUCCUGACACUGAGACACGAAGGCCAGGGGAGCAAACGGG
rnacentral:rRNA from 1 species